UCAAAACACUUUCUCCUUCCAAGAACCCUAAACUCUUCUGUGCUUCAUUGUGUCCUUCUCAUGCCUCACCCUAAACACUAACACAUAUUCUGGCGAUUAACCUUUACAAAUAGCAAAACAGAAAGAACAUCGUCGGUGCUCGCCCUCCGAACGAAUAUCAAAAUCCCAGCACUCUGAAGAACAUCGCCGGCGCUCGCCCUCUCUCCUUUGUCGCAAUGCCUCCGUCGGCACUCCUUCUUCCGGCGCUCUCACCAUCGCUGCUCCCACCGUAAACCUUUAACCCUCCUUCAGCGGUGACUCCCUCGGCGCUCACUGUCCCUUACAAUGCCUCCGUCGGCACUCCUUCUUCCGGCGCUCUCACCGUCGCUGCUCCCACCGUAAACCUUUAAUCCUCCUUCAGCGGUGACUCCUUCAGCGCUCACUGUCCCUUGCAAACCCUCUGUUGAUGCUCCUUCUGCCGCCGCUCUCUUCUGUCACUGCAAACCCCUAACCCCUGUGGAGCAUUGGAGAAGGUUUGUUGUUUAGGCUCACCCCCUUCCGUCGUUGCAAAGAACCCCUUCCUCGUGCAGGGCGGUGUCCAUUGUGACCCUUGUCGUGCUAGUUUUGAGACCUCUGCCACCACUUACAUUGCUGGUACAUAAUACAUCUACUAUAUUAUCUCUUAUUCUUGCUGAGUUUGGCCGGUGUAUAGCUCAUUCGUCGAUGAAUGUCUUCAAGUUUCUCGUCGGGAUGAGUUAUACGUCGGCAAGGAGAGAACAAGGGGUGGGUACCUGCAAAAGACACUCCGACGCUCAAGUCAGUAAGUGUUUAAGAGGUAUAUGAAUAAUUCUAUGAAUAUAGAAUGUAAGACAUAAAAUAGAAGUUAUCAUGUGUUGUAUAUUAUAAUAUUCUAUGAAUAUAGAAUGUAUCUAGAAUAUAUCUAGAAUGUAUCUAGAAUGUCCCUAGAAUGUAUAGUGUAUAUAGAGAUUGGUGCCUUUUAUAGGCAUAGAGUUGAUGAAUAGAAUUGAUGGUAUGACCGUUGAUCAUUAAGUCAGAAUAUUGAUCAUUAAGUUGGUAAUGAAGGUGUCAGUUACAGAAUAAAUGAUAAUUAAGGCUGAGUUAUAACUCAUAAUGCACAAUAAAGACCGAGUUAUAAGGUGACGGAUCAUCUCUAAUGCAUGCUUUCCUUUAUAUUGCUUAACAAGUUUUGAUAGAUUUCAUGAAAGUUUUUUCAUUCAAAUUUUGAAUCGUCAGAUCAUCCUCUUUUCAUCAUUUUGUUAUAUAUUACCAAACCUUCUCUGUUGCACUUCAUUAGCUAGUAGUUAUCUUCUCAUGCUAUUAUUACUGAACAUAAAUUUAAUUUAAUUUCUUUGUAACCACUUGCUAGGCUAGGCUGCUAAUUAAUGAUUUAUAGUUGUAAAUUAAGUGAAAAAAUGCCAUUUUUCUUUUUGAAGCAAUGAUAUUAUAAUUUUCUAUAAUUAUAUUAUAAUUUGCUGCUGAUUUGCCGUCGAUUUGGCCAUUGAUUUAAACAGUAUUUCAUGUAGUGGCUUAUCCAUGAGCAUGUCACAAAUUAUCAAUAUAAAAUGUGGAAUUCCUUUGUUGCCUUGAUGCUGUUAUGGUACUAAUUAUCUGCUAUCGAAUCACUAUUCGCUGCUGAUUCUACCUCUUAUUUUGCUUCUAUUUCACUGUUGCUGUGGUACUUAAUUAAUCUGCUGCUGGAUUGCUGAGUAUAGUUUAGUUUUUUAGAUAAAAAAAACAAAUAAUAUGGGAUAUGUGUAAGAAUUACUUAGAUAGAAAGAAAAAAAAGGUGUAGAGCAUAUUCCUUCAAUGGUGUAUUUGAAGCUUCCAUACAUGAUGUGGAUGUCAUAUCAAUUUCCAUUGGUGGAGGUGAUCCUAGCUGUGGUUGAUGUUAUAUCCAUUGGCGCAUUUUUCGCCAUUAGUAAAGGGAUACUCACAGUGGCCUCAGCUAGAAAUGAUGGCCUGGAUAUGACCAUCGUGACGAAUACUGCGCCGUGGAUUGUUACAGUUGCAGCUGGUGGCAUUGACAGAGCUUUCAGGAGCACUGUGAUUUGAGGGAGUGGAAAAAAUGUUUCUGUAAGUUGGUUUCUUAUGCCUUUUACAUAUUUUUUCGGGGGAGGAGCACUUGGGUUAUUAAUCAACUUCUAAUUUCAUAACCAAGGUUACUUACACAACUAUGAUGAAUUUGAAUGUAAGAGUACACAAUCAAUUAGAAAUAAUACUAUGAGUAACCUUUAUAUAUAUAUAAUUUUCUGAUCACUAUUUUUAGAAUAUUUUUAUUUAGUUUUUUUAAAUUUUAAUUUGGCUUAGAUGUUGCACAUAACUUGUGGCAUGUAUGCAACUUAUAGCAUUACAGAAUGGUUCACCUAAGUGCACCUUUAGUUUGAUCAGGGUUUAGUUAAAUGAAAGACUAAAUAAUGUACUAUGUGAAUAUUUAUUGUUUUACAAAACCAAUUUGUAUGUUCAUAUGGUAAAUAAUAAACAAUAUGGCAUGCAUUCUGUUAUUGAUCAUGUGUGAAAACCCCAAUCAUGGAGGCUAUGCAGGGAAUAGGAGUGAGUAGUUUUAACCCAAAACAAAAAUAGUAUCCUCUCAUCAAUGGCGUCGACGCUGCUCGGAACUCUAAAGCCAAGGAAAAUGCUAGGUAGCUUUUGCGUUUGAUUUUGUUCUUGCCAAUUAUGUUUGUUCAAUAAUGAUGACAAAGAUUUUAGUUAAUGCAUUGAUCUAAGUACUGCUUUGGAGGAUCCUUAGAUCCAAAUAAGGUGAAGGAAAAGCUUGUUUACUGCAAAUUAGGAACAUAUGGCACUAAUGCAAUUGUGAAAGAAUUUGGAGGCAUUGGUGCCAUAAUUGAAAGACAAAGAUAUGUUGAUGUUGCUCAAGUUUUCAUAGCUCUUACUACCAUUGUGAAUAUGAGCUUAGGUGAUACUAUCACUAGUUAUAUACAUUCCACAAGGUAUAAAAUAAACCAUGUUUAACUUUUUAAUGACCACUCUUUAACUCUUGAAUGAUAUUACAUGCAACAAGUCCUGAUUUCUAAAGUAUGACAAUAUAAUCUCUUCACACCCAUGUAUUUUGGGCAAAUUUUUUAACAUACAGGGAUUACUAAAAAGAGGGUAUAUUUAAGAGAGAUAUUGUGUAGUAUUUAUUCAUAAAAAAUGAUAAAUAUUAUGUAUUGGAGAAUACAGCGUGAUUUUCAAUAUAUGUUCUUUCAUUUUUUGGUAAAAUAUAAGAUGUACCAACAUAAAAAUAUUUAAAAUUAUGCAGGGUAGUGGUGAAAACAAUGGAGUUCACAAUCAAUAAUCAUGAAGUUUCAUAUUUAGUGAUGAAGUAUGUAAAGGAAGUAGAUAUAUAAUAGUCGUUGGAGUUGUAAUUCAUGUAUUAAGAAAACAUAGGUAGUUAUGACUUUAAUUUUUGGUAUUUUGUUAGACUAUCAUGCGAUCAAACAUACUUUUUUUAGUGAUAGGUUUAUGUAUGUUAGACUAGUUGAUUUAAAAUUAUUGGUCAUUGUCUAAAUUUUAAAAUUAUCUAUGAAUUUUGUAAGGUUUUAUUAUGAAAAUUAAAAAAGAACAAUAGGUUAUUGAAAAUUUUUUUUGCCACAUUUUAAAAGAGUGGUCAUAUUAUAUAGUAGUCAUCAACAGCCACGCUUUAAAAGCGUAGCCAUACCACACUAUUGUCACGCUUUAAAAGUAUAGUCAUAUCUUCCACUAUUGGCAUGUUUCAAAAGAGUAGCCAUAUUUUCACUAUUGGUAGACUUCAAAAGGCGUAGCCAUAUCUUCCACUAUUAGCGGGCUUCAAAAGCAUAGCCAUAUCUUUCACAUACUGCCACGUUUUUAAGCGUGGCAAUAGAUGAAAGCAUGUCAAUAGAUCGACAAAAGCGUGGUGAUAGCUCAAAAAGUGUGGCAAAAAGCUAUCGCUACGCUUUUUUUAACUUUUCAUCACGCUUUAAAAGCGUAGCAAAAUCGAUAAUUCUUUUAGUUGGCUAUCAUAUCACCCUUAGGUCACCUCUUGUGGAUGAUGAAAUCAUUAACCUUAAGGUUGAUGAUGACAUUCAUCCACUAGAAGAAGAGGACGACAAAGAAGAAGGGGUUGGUGGGGACGACAAAGAAGAUGAGAAAAUUGAUGAUCAAAAAGUAACAUCUGAAGAGGAUGAUGAACAAGGGGUUGAUGAGGACGAAGAAGAAGAAGAGGAAUUCAAAUGAAGAUAGACAUAUUCAACAGAGAUAGUGCCAGGAGUCACAUCAGAACCAUUAGAAAGACGACGAUGACGAUUAUGAGGACUCGUAGAAUUUAGUAUUUUCUUUUGUACAAUUUUGUUUUUGACGAAAUUGCUUUAUGUUUGUAGCGUCAUGGUCCAGAUUAUACUGUAGUUUUUGUUUAUUUUAAUGACAUCUGAAUUUCAUUGAUUUUUAUUUAA